UACGGAAGGCAGCAGUGGGGAAUAUUGCACAAUGGGCGCAAGCCUGAUGCAGCCAUGCCGCGUGUAUGAAGAAGGCCUUCGGGUUGUAAAGUACUUUCAGUCGUGAGGAAGGUGUUAAGGUUAAUAACCUUAGCAAUUGACGUUAGCGACAGAAGAAGCACCGGCUAACUCCGUGCCAGCAGCCGCGGUAAUACGGAGGGUGCGAGCGUUAAUCGGAAUUACUGGGCGUAAAGGGCACGCAGGCGGUUAAUUAAGUUGGAUGUGAAAUCCCCGGGCUUAACCUGGGAAUGGCAUUCAAGACUGGUUAGCUAGAGUCUUGUAGAGGGGGUUAGAAUUCCAUGUGUAGCGGUGAAAUGCAUAGAGAUGUGGAGGAAUACCGGUGGCGAAGGCGGCCCCUGGACAAAGGACUGACGCUCAUGUGCGAAAGCGUGGGGAGCAAACAGGAUUAGAUACC
rnacentral:rRNA from 1 species